CUCAGCUGGCAAAAAUGAGUUGUACUUGUAUUUCAAAGGGAUCAUCCUUGCCACAUUCUGUGUCUGGAUGAAUCUCCCUGAGAGCUACGUUAAGGGUACGCAUGUCUGUGGAGUGCUCAGCCACUUGUAUGUUAAUUUCACGAGCAGGCUGUUCUGUUGAUCGAAUCACUUGGAACUGUCAUC